rnacentral:rRNA from 1 species
GACGAACGCUGGCGGCGUGCUUAACACAUGCAAGUCGAACGGAAAGGCCCUGCUUUUGUGGGGUGCUCGAGUGGCGAACGGGUGAGUAACACACGAGUAACCUGCCCUUGACUUUGGGAUAACUUCAGGAAACUGGGGCUAAUACCGGAUAGGAGCUCCUGCUGCAUGGUGGGGGUUGGAAAGUUUCGGCGGUUGGGGAUGGACUCGCGGCUUAUCAGCUUGUUGGUGGGGUAGUGGCUUACCAAGGCUUUGACGGGUAGCCGGCCUGAGAGGGUGACCGGCCACAUUGGGACUGAGAUACGGCCCAGACUCCUACGGGAGGCAGCAGUGGGGAAUAUUGCACAAUGGGCGGAAGCCUGAUGCAGCAACGCCGCGUGCGGGAUGACGGCCUUCGGGUUGUAAACCGCUUUCGCCUGUGACGAAGCGUGAGUGACGGUAAUGGGUAAAGAAGCACCGGCUAACUACGUG